rnacentral:rRNA from 1 species
CAGCAGCCGCGGUAAUACAGAGGGUGCAAGCGUUAAUCGGAAUUACUGGGCGUAAAGCGUGCGUAGACGGUUACAUAAGUCGGGUGUGAAAGCCCCGGGCUCAACCUGGGAAUUGCAUUCGAGACUGCGGUAGUUAGGGUGCGGAAGAGGGAAGCGGAAUUUCCGGUGUAGCGGUGAAAUGCGUAGAUAUCGGAAGGUACACCAGUGGCGAAAGCGGCUUCCUGGUCCAGCACCGACGUUCAGGCACGAAAGCGUGGGGAGCAAACAGGAUUAGAUACCCUGGUAGUCCACGCCAUAAACGAUGAGAACUAGACGUUGAAGGGGUAAGCCUCUCCUAGUGUCGUAGCUAACGCGCUAAGUUCUCCGCCUGGGGAGUACGGCCGCAAGGUUGAAACUCAAAGAAAUUGACGG